CAGUCGAACGACCUUCGGGUUAGUGGCGGACGGGUGAGUAACGCGUGAGAAUCUGCCCUCAGGAGGGGGAUAACAGCUGGAAACGGCUGCUAAUACCCCAUAUGCCGCGAGGUGAAAUGAAUUUCGCCUGAGGAUGAGCUCGCGUCUGAUUAGCUAGUUGGUGUGGGUAAUGGCUCACCAAGGCAUUGAUCAGUAGCUGGUCUGAGAGGAUGAUCAGCCACACUGGGACUGAGACACGGCCCAGACUCCUACGGGAGGCAGCAGUGGGGAAUUUUCCGCAAUGGGCGAAAGCCUGACGGAGCAACGCCGCGUGAGGGAUGAAGGCCUCUGGGCUGUAAACCUCUUUUAUCAAGGAAGAAGAUCUGACGGUACUUGAUGAAUAAGCCACGGCUAAUUCCGUGCCAGCAGCCGCGGUAAUACGGGAGUGGCAAGCGUUAUCCGGAAUUAUUGGGCGUAAAGCGUCCGCAGGCGGCCCUUCAAGUCUGCUGUUAAAAAGUGGAGCUUAACUCCAUCAUGGCAGUGGAAACUGAGGGGCUUGAGUGUGGUAGGGGCAGAGGGAAUUCCCGGUGUAGCGGUGAAAUGCGUUGAUAUCGGGAAGAACACCAGUGGCGAAGGCGCUCUGCUGGGCCAUCACUGACGCUCAUGGACGAAAGCCAGGGGAGCGAAAGGGAUUAGAUACCCCUGUAGUCCUGGCCGUAAACGAUGAACACUAGGUGUCGGGGGAAUCGACCCCCUCGGUGUCGUAGCCAACGCGUUAAGUGUUCCGCCUGGGGAGUACGCACGCAAGUGUGAAACUCAAAGGAAUUGACGGGGG
rnacentral:rRNA from 1 species